UCCGUAGGUGGAUAAUUAAGUCAGAGGUGAAAUCCUGCAGCUCAACUGUAGAAUUGCCUUUGAUACUGGUUAUCUUGAGUCAUUAUGAAGUGGUUAGAAUGUGUAGUGUAGCGGUGAAAUGCAUAGAUAUUACACAGAAUACCGAUUGCGAAGGCAGAUCACUAAUAAUGUACUGACACUGAGGGACGAAAGCGUGGGGAGCGAAAAGGAUUAGAUACCCUGGUAGUCC
rnacentral:rRNA from 1 species